rnacentral:rRNA from 1 species
UCAGUCGACUCCUACGGGGAGGCAGCAGUGGGGAAUAUUGCACAAUGGGGGGAAACCCUGAUGCAGCCAUGCCGCGUGUGUGAAGAAGGCCUUCGGGUUGUAAAGCACUUUCAGUAGGGAGGAAGGUAGUGUAGUUAACACCUGCACUAUUUGACGUUACCUACAGAAGAAGCACCGGCUAACUCCGUGCCAGCAGCCGCGGUAAUACGGAGGGGUGCGAGCGUUAAUCGGAAUUACUGGGCGUAAAGCGCAUGCAGGCGGCCUGUUAAGUCAGAUGUGAAAGCCCGGGGCUUAACCUCGGAAUUGCAUUUGAAACUGGCAGGCUAGAGUCUUGUAGAGGGGGGUAGGAAUUUCAGGUGUAGCGGUGAAAUGCGUAGAGAUCUGAAGGAAUACCAGUGGCGAAGGCGGCCCCCUGGACAAAGACUGACGCUCAGAUGCGAAAGCGUGGGGACGCAAACAGGAUUAGAUACCCCUGGUAG